ACACUUCCUAAAUUUCAGAUGAGUCAUGAAGUGUUUCAAUCUACUCACUGGGGCCUAAGCCUCGAGGAAACCAGCAAAGACCAUAUCCUGCCCCAACGGUCACACUCAUUAGAAUAUCGAACACACCCGGAUGUUGAUCUAUAAUACUUAUUCAUUAAGUUUAAAAUUCGGUUUAAAUAUAACAAUACACUUCUGUACACUCCAGCCCACUACAUAUAGAAAAUGAUGAUAUCAAAGCUGAACUAUUAUUACGCGAUUCGGGAAACUCCGAUAAAGUAGUUCGACAUUGAAUAUACAGCUCUUAACUCCGCCAUCUUGCCUCGUCGUGACCACAGCAAGAGAAAUAACUCAGUUAGUCCACUGCAAAAGUGAGAGAAAGAUUUACUUCAGGACAGAGUGGAGAUCACGUGGUGCAGACGCUGCCUCCUUCAAACUUGGUCCUGUACAGGGGAGACCACUGUCAACAAUGUCUGGUCAUCCGUCGUCUGCUCGGGGACAGCGACCUAAAAGACGAGGUGGUAGACAGAGUUGUAGUGGCGGUGGCCGGGUCAAAGUUUACCUACACGCUGUGACUGAUGAACAGGCGGCACUACUUACAGAUACAGUGAACACACGCCCCCUGGAUGAGGUAAA